GUUUGGGGUCAGAAUGAAAGACCCCCGGAGCGGGGAGACCCUCACUCAAGUCUCGGGAUGAUGCAACCCCCCAAGAACUCACGUGAGACC
rnacentral:pre_miRNA from 14 species